CGAACGGGUGAGUAACGCGUAGGUAACCUGCCUUGUAGCGGGGGAUAACUAUUGGAAACGAUAGCUAAUACCGCAUAACAAUGGAUGACCCAUGUCAUUUAUUUGAAAGGGGCAAAUGCUCCACUACAAGAUGGACCUGCGUUGUAUUAGCUAGUAGGUGAGGUAACGGCUCACCUAGGCGACGAUACAUAGCCGACCUGAGAGGGUGAUCGGCCACACUGGGACUGAGACACGGCCCAGACUCCUACGGGAGGCAGCAGUAGGGAAUCUUCGGCAAUGGGGGCAACCCUGACCGAGCAACGCCGCGUGAGUGAAGAAGGUUUUCGGAUCGUAAAGCUCUGUUGUAAGUCAAGAACGAGUGUGAGAGUGGAAAGUUCACACUGUGACGGUAGCUUACCAGAAAGGGACGGCUAACUACGUGCCAGCAGCCGCGGUAAUACGUAGGUCCCGAGCGUUGUCCGGAUUUAUUGGGCGUAAAGCGAGCGCAGGCGGUUUGAUAAGUCUGAAGUUAAAGGCUGUGGCUCAACCAUAGUUCGCUUUGGAAACUGUCAAACUUGAGUGCAGAAGGGGAGAGUGGAAUUCCAUGUGUAGCGGUGAAAUGCGUAGAUAUAUGGAGGAACACCGGUGGCGAAAGCGGCUCUCUGGUCUG
rnacentral:rRNA from 1 species